rnacentral:rRNA from 1 species
CUUAGCGGCGGACGGGUGAGUAAUGCUUAGGAAUCUGCCUAUUAGUGGGGGACAACGUUUCGAAAGGAACGCUAAUACCGCAUACGUCCUACGGGAGAAAGCAGGGGAUCUUCGGACCUUGUGCUAAUAGAUGAGCCUAAGUCGGAUUAGCUAGUUGGUGGGGUAAAGGCCUACCAAGGCGACGAUCUGUAGCGGGUCUGAGAGGAUGAUCCGCCACACUGGGACUGAGACACGGCCCAGACUCCUACGGGAGGCAGCAG